rnacentral:rRNA from 1 species
GACGAACGCUGGCGGCGUGCCUAAUACAUGCAAGUCGAGCGAAUGGAUUAAGAGCUUGCUCUUAUGAAGUUAGCGGCGGACGGGUGAGUAACACGUGGGUAACCUGCCCAUAAGACUGGGAUAACUCCGGGAAACCGGGGCUAAUACCGGAUAACAUUUUGAACCGCAUGGUUCGAAAUUGAAAGGCGGCUUCGGCUGUCACUUAUGGAUGGACGCGCGUCGCAUUAGCUGGUUGGUGAGGCAACGGCUCACCAAGGCAACGAUGCGUAGCCGACCUGAGAGGGUGAUCGGCCACACUGGGACUGGGAAACGGCCCAGACUCCUACGGGAGGCAGCAGUAGGGAAUCUUCCGAAAUGGACGAAAGUCUGACGGAGCAACGCCGCGUGAGUGAUGAAGGCUUUCGGGUCGUAAAACUCUGUUGUUAGGGAAGAACAAGUGCUAGUUGAAUAAGCUGACACCUUGACGGUACCUAACCAGAAAGCCACGGCUAACUACGUGCCAGCCGCCGCCGUAA